rnacentral:misc_RNA from 1 species
GUAGGUGAACCUGCGGAGGGAUCAUUACUGAGUGAGGGCCCCCGGGCCCGACCUCCAACCCUUUGAAUUCCGACCCAGUUGCCUCGGGGGCGACCCGGCCCUCACGGGCGUCGGGGCCCCCGGUGGACCACACAACCCUGCAUCCGUGCGUCCGAGUACAACACCGAAUAAGUUAAAACUUUCAACAACGGAUCUCUUGGUUCUGGCAUCGAUGAAGAACGCAGCAUCUGACUGACUCGGGCAUAAGUCA